AACAAAAACAAGUCAGUAUAGCAAAAAACAGAAGAAAACUAAGCUAUACAGAACAAGAUACUAAUAUUUGGACAACAAAACAUACACCUAUCACUUAUCAGCAAUUUGCAGUAGUAAACAGCAGCAAAUCAACACUAUUUUUGACAGCACAACAUCAUAGUUUACAGCAAAACAAUAACAGAACAACAUCCAAGUGUUCCAGUUUCAACAACAGCAAAACAACAGCAUUACAUCACUAUUUUACAGCACAGCAGCAUAGUUUUAUAGCAAAACAAUAACAGAACCCCAUAUAAAUGUUUCAGUUUCAACAACAGCAUUACAUUACAAGUUUUGACAGCACAGCAGCAUAGUGUUUGAGCAAAAGAAUAGCAGAACCACAUAUAAAUGUUUCAGUUUCAAGUCUUUCGACAUCUAAAUGUUCUAGUUACAACAAACACAAGUGCAUGAAUAAUAUUACAGUCCAUAACCAAAAUAAGACUAGUAGUUUGUUGGCUGCCAUCUCGCCAUGCCUUCUCUGAACCUUCUUCUCUUCUCAUUGCUCUAGCAACAACUCUAGAGGAUGGAAUGAAGAGAAAGUUAGCGGUAGUAUAAAGACAACUUGACAAUUGACAUGAACAAAGAAUAUAGAUGUUACAUUCUUCAUCCGAAGAUGAAUCUUCAUCAUUAUCUAGCACAACCACUUUUGCCUUUCUCUUAUUAUCUACAACAAUAGAUUGGGUUAAUUAUCAUUUGGAAGUAAAACAUACAAAUAAGAAUGUGAAACAAACAAGAUUACAACACAUACCUUCUUUUUUCUGCAGUUUGCAACGAUACCAAUCUUGCAAACACAUUAGGGCCUCAACCGUCUUUGGUUUAAGUGAG
rnacentral:lncRNA from 1 species